rnacentral:tRNA from 1 species
GCUGGUGUGGUGGAAUUGGCAGACACAUUGGGUUUAAGCCCCAAUUGCAUAUAGCAGUACGAGUUCAAAUCUCGUCACCAGCA